AGUGAACGCUGGCGGUAGGCCUAACACAUGCAAGUCGAACGGCAGCACAGUAAGAGCUUGCUCUUACGGGUGGCGAGUGGCGGACGGGUGAGGAAUACAUCGGAAUCUACUUUUUCGUGGGGGAUAACGUAGGGAAACUUACGCUAAUACCGCAUACGACCUACGGGUGAAAGCAGGGGAUCUUCGGACCUUGCGCGAUUGAAUGAGCCGAUGUCGGAUUAGCUAGUUGGCGGGGUAGAGGCCCACCAAGGCGACGAUCCGUAGCUGGCCUGAGAGGAUGAUCAGCCACACUGGAACUGAGACACGGUCCAGACUCCUACGGGAGGCAGCAGUGGGGAAUAUUGGACAAUGGGCGCAAGCCUGAUCCAGCCAUACCGCGUGGGUGAAGAAGGCCUUCGGGUUGUAAAGCCCUUUUGUUGGGGAAGAAAAGCAGCAGGUUAAUACCCCGCUGUUCUGACGGUACCCAAAGAAUAAGCACCGGCUAACUUCGUG
rnacentral:rRNA from 1 species